AGCAUUGACCGAAACUCAGACGGUUACACGGUACACAUUGCCCGUUGCAUUGACGGAUUGCCGAUGCCAAUCCUUGAUUGCGCCGUCCCCUUCGGGGGCAGAGUGACAGGUGGUGCAUGGUUGUCGUCAGCUCGUGUCGUGAGAUGUUGGGUUAAGUCCCGCAACGAGCGCAACCCUUGAUCUUAGUUGCCAGCAUUCAGUUGGGCACUCUAAGGUGACUGCCGGUGACAAACCGGAGGAAGGUGGGGAUGACGUCAAAUCAUCAUGCCCCUUAUGACCUGGGCUACACACGUGCUACAAUGGACAGAACAAAGGGCAGCGAAACCGCGAGGUUAAGCCAAUCCCACAAAUCUGUUCUCAGUUCGGAUCGCAGUCUGCAACUCGACUGCGUGAAGCUGGAAUCGCUAGUAAUCGCGGAUCAGCAUGCCGCGGUGAAUACGUUCCCGGGCCUUGUACACACCGCCCGUACACGUCAAUUGAUUUGAGUUUUACCCGUCAAUUCAUUUUGAGUUACAGGCGGUUCGUUUGGGUUUUACCGUCAAUCCCUUCCCCUUCUACCCCCUGAGCUCA
rnacentral:rRNA from 1 species